UUGUCCUUGAAAGACCCCCGAAGGGAGACCCUCACUCAAGUCUCAGGAUAAUAGCAGACCCCCAAGAACUCAUGAGAGA
rnacentral:pre_miRNA from 7 species